GUAGGUGAACCUGCGGAAGGAUCAUUACAGUGUUCCCUGCCCUCACGGGUAGAAACGCCCACCCUUUGUGUAAUAUAUCUUGUUGCUUUGGCAGGCCGCCCUCGGGCACCGGCUUCGGCUGGGUUGCGCCUGCCAGAGGACCCCAAACUCUGAAUGUUAGUGUCGUCUGAGUACUAUAUAAUAGUUAAAACUUUCAACAACGGAU
rnacentral:misc_RNA from 1 species